rnacentral:lncRNA from 1 species
GCACAAUGUAUUUAUAGCCAUGGUUGCAAAUAGCUGUCAACAUUUUCAGAGUAUUUUUCAAAACACAGUUAAUCCAGCCACAGAAAUAGUCACUGGCCCAAAUGCUCUGAAGCUAAAAGAAAUUAAACCUAAAGGAAAUUGAAUCUCACAUCUCUCUUCUUCUCUUUCUCCUGUUCAUUAUCCCUCCUGUGACCCGCUUUGGCCACUUCUUAUUCCAUAGAUCACUGAGCUUAAGUAAGGUAUGGGGGAUAUGGUACCAUAGGGUAGAUGUGCUUCAGAGAACUUAGCAUCAUCCUAGCAUAAUGCUUUAAGAGAAAGGAAGAAAGGAGAAAGAAGAAGAAGUAAGAGUGUUGAGGAUUAGAAGAAUGCACAUAACUGAAGACUUCGUAAUUGUCAGACCCACAACAAGGAAGCCGAGUGCCCAUUUUGAGGCCAACUAGAGUUUUGGUUGGUUUUAGAGGAUCCCACACUUCCCACAGUCUGUGGGGUGUGGACCAGCAUACUGUGCUGCUUCUUUGCAGGGUUGAAACACUAAAGUGAGCCCCUAGUGAUGGAGUUGAAGAGGUAAACAUGAAUACAGGAUAAGGUAAUCUCCCAGGAAGGGAACAGGCCUGAGGCUACGGUGACACGGGUUUAGGUAGGGUUGGAAUAUCACUAUUUUCAAAAGCAGAAUGCUCUUGAGGAUGGAAAAGAACACUGUUAAUAUUUUUCUAGCACACUAGGCAUAAAACAGGAUUGUCAUAGGUAACCCAAAAUGAGUGUCCGUUGUAGAAAUAGAGUGUGUUUGUUACAGCUUUCUC